GACGAACGCUGGCGGCGUGCCUAAUACAUGCAAGUCGAGCGAGCGGAACUAACAGAUUUACUUCGGUAAUGACGUUAGGAAAGCGAGCGGCGGAUGGGUGAGUAACACGUGGGGAACCUGCCCCAUAGUCUGGGAUACCACUUGGAAACAGGUGCUAAUACCGGAUAAGAAAGCAGAUCGCAUGAUCAGCUUUUAAAAGGCGGCGUAAGCUGUCGCUAUGGGAUGGCCCCGCGGUGCAUUAGCUAGUUGGUAAGGUAAAGGCUUACCAAGGCGAUGAUGCAUAGCCGAGUUGAGAGACUGAUCGGCCACAUUGGGACUGAGACACGGCCCAAACUCCUACGGGAGGCAGCAGUAGGGAAUCUUCCACAAUGGACGCAAGUCUGAUGGAGCAACGCCGCGUGAGUGAAGAAGGUUUUCGGAUCGUAAAGCUCUGUUGUUGGUGAAGAAGGAUAGAGGUAGUAACUGGCCUUUAUUUGACGGUAAUCAACCAGAAAGUCACGGCUAACUACGUGCCAGCAGCCGCGGUAAUACGUAGGUGGCAAGCGUUGUCCGGAUUUAUUGGGCGUAAAGCGAGCGCAGGCGGAAGAAUAAGUCUGAUGUGAAAGCCCUCGGCUUAACCGAGGAACUGCAUCGGAAACUGUUUUUCUUGAGUGCAGAAGAGGAGAGUGGAACUCCAUAUGUAGCGGUGGAAUGCGUAGAUAUAUGGAAGAACACCAGUGGCGAAGGCGGCUCUCUGGUCUGCAACUGACGCUGAGGCUCGAAAGCAUGGGUAGCGAACAGG
rnacentral:rRNA from 1 species